rnacentral:rRNA from 1 species
CCUACGGGGGGCAGCAGUGGGGAAUAUUGGACAAUGGGGGGAAUCCUGAUCCAGCCAUGCCGCGUGUGUGAAGAAGGCCCUCGGGUUGUAAAGCACUUUCAGUGAGGAAGAACGCCUGGUGGUUAAUACCCAUCAGGAAAGACAUCACUCACAGAAGAAGCACCGGCUAACUCCGUGCCAGCAGCCGCGGUAAUACGGAGGGUGCGAGCGUUAAUCGGAAUUACUGGGCGUAAAGCGCGCGUAGGUGGCUUGAUAAGCCGGUUGUGAAAGCCCCGGGCUCAACCUGGGAACGGCAUCCGGAACUGUCAAGCUAGAGUGCAGGAGAGGAAGGUAGAAUUCCCGGUGUAGCGGUGAAAUGCGUAGAGAUCGGGAGGAAUACCAGUGGCGAAGGCGGCCUUCUGGACUGACACUGACACUGAGGUGCGAAAGCGUGGGUAGCAAACAGGAUUAGAUACCCGGGUAGUC